GACGAACGCUGGCGGCGUGCCUAAUACAUGCAAGUCGAACGCAGUGGGGACGGGUGAGUAACACGUGGGUAACCUCCCAUCAGAGGGGAUAACCCUUGGAAACAGGUGCUAAACCGCUACUGAUGGAUGGACCCGCGGUGCAUUAGCGAGUUGGGGAGGUAACGGCUCACCAAGGCCACGAUGCAUAGCCGACCUGAGAGGGUGAUCGGCCACACUGGAAAUGAGACACGGCCCAGACUCCUACGGGAGGCAGCAGUGGGGAAUAUUGCGCAAUGGACGAAAGUCUGACCGAGCAACGCCGCGUGAGUGAAGAAGGUUUUCGGGUCGUAAAGCUCUUUUGUUAGAGAAGCGGUAUCUAACCAGAAAGCCACGGCUAACUACGUGCCAGCAGCCGCGGUAAUUC
rnacentral:rRNA from 1 species